rnacentral:rRNA from 1 species
UGCAUGGUUGUCGUCAGCUCGUGUCGUGAGAUGUUGGGUUAAGUCCCGCAACGAGCGCAACCCCUAUGGUCAGUUGCCAGCACGUUAAGGUGGGCACUCUGGCGAGACUGCCGUUGACAAAACGGAGGAAGGUGGGGACGACGUCAAAUCAUCAUGCCCCUUAUGUCCCUGGGCUACACACGUACUACAAUGGCAACAACAGAGGGCAGCCAUGCCGCGAGGCAGAGCGAAUCCCAAAAUGUUGUCUCAGUUCAGAUUGCAGGCUGCAACUCGCCUGCAUGAAGUCGGAAUUGCUAGUAAUGGCAGGUCAGCAUACUGCCGUGAAUACGUUCCCGGGCCUU